rnacentral:rRNA from 1 species
UACGAAGGUUGCAAGCGUUACUCGGAAUUACUAGGCGUAAGGGCAGGUAGGUGGUUUGGUAAGUCUAUUGUGAAAGCUCCCGGCUUAACUGGGAGAGGCCAAUGGAUACUGCCAAGCUUGAGUAUAGGAGAGGUUACUGGAAUUCCCGGUGUAGCGGUGAAAUGCGCAGAUAUCGGGAGGAACACCAAUGGCGAAAGCAGGUAACUGGACUAUUACUGACACUCAACUGCGAAAGCUAGGGGAGCAAACAGGGAUUAAGAAACCCCUGU